GAUUUGGAAAUCUUUUGUUUGUUGCCCAUCAUAGAUGUUUGUUUCAUUGUCACUGUCUUGGGUUUUAAUGUGUAACUUGUCAUCUUUCCUCCUCUAUCAAAUGUACAUCUGGACUGUAGAAGGUAAAUAAGUAGAUAUAACUGCUGUGGAAGGAGAGUCCGGAGUGAUCUGUAAAGUUAACUCCAAACAUUUAGCUGCUAUGUUGAUGGCUAAUGCUAUUGACCAGUAUGUGAUUGGAAGUAAUUCUUACAGGCACCUCUGUUCAAUCCCACUCAAGUAGUGAAACUAGCGUGCUCACUAAUAGUGAAGUGUUGGACUAUGUAGUAAUCAGUAGAACAAGCUAUAUUGCAAUUGCUCUCUGAAAAUGGUUUACAAAUUCAGGCGACAGUCAGAUAGACUGUUUUCAUGGGGCUUAGUUUACAUCCCCACCAUAAAAGUAUUUCAGAGAGCAGUUCUAGAACUUGAUAGUGUUAGUCGAAAGUUCUCAUUUUUGUCCAAUCUUUUGCCUUUUUUCGCCUCCCUUGGAUGUUUACAGAAGUGAAAGACUUUAGGUUUCAGAAGUAAGACCUUCAGGGAAGACCAUCGGCCUGAAAAUGUUCUUGUACAUUGUCAACAAAUAAAUUCUUUAAAAAAAGUGGA